AACAAACGCUGGCGGCGUGCCCAAUACAUGCAAGUCGAACGGUAACAGGCCGCAAGGUGCUGACGAGUGGCGAACGGGUGAGUAAUGCAUCGGAACGUGCCCAGUCGUGGGGGAUAACGCAGCGAAAGCUGCGCUAAUACCGCAUACGAUCUAUGGAUGAAAGCGGGGGCACGAAAGGCCUCGCGCGAUUGGAGCGGCCGAUGUCAGAUUAGGUAGUUGGUGGGGUAAAGGCCCACCAAGCCAACGAUCUGUAGCUGGUCUGAGAGGACGACCAGCCACACUGGGACUGAGACACGGCCCAGACUCCUACGGGAGGCAGCAGUGGGGAAUUUUGGACAAUGGGCGCAAGCCUGAUCCAGCAAUGCCGCGUGCAGGAAGAAGGCCUUCGGGUUGUAAACUGCUUUUGUACGGAACGAAACGGUCCGGGUUAAUACCCUGGGCUAAUGACGGUACCGUAAGAAUAAGCACCGGCUAACUACGUGCCAGCCGCCGCAGUAAAAC
rnacentral:rRNA from 1 species